GAUGAACGCUGGCGGCGUGCCUAAUACAUGCAAGUCGAGCGAACAGACGAGGAGCUUGCUCCUCUGACGUUAGCGGCGGACGGGUGAGUAAAACGUGGAUAACCUACCUAUAAGACUGGGAUAACUUCGGGAAACCGGUGCUAAUACCGGAUAAUAUCUUGAACCGCAUGGUUCAAUAGUGAAAGACGGUUUUGCUGUCACUUAUAGAUGGAUCCGCGCCGCAUUAGCUAGUUGGUAAGGUAACGGCUUACCAAGGCAACGAUGCGUAGCCGACCUGAGAGGGUGAUCGGCCACACUGGAACUGAGACACGGUCCAGACUCCUACGGGAGGCAGCAGUAGGGAAUCUUCCGCAAUGGGCGAAAGCCUGACGGAUCAACGCCGCGUGAGUGAUGAAGGUCUUCGGAUCGUAAAACUCUGUUAUUAGGGAAGAACAAAUGUGUAAGUAACUAUGCACGUCCUGACGGUACCUAAUCAGAAAGCCACGGCUAACUACGUG
rnacentral:rRNA from 1 species